rnacentral:rRNA from 1 species
ACGAACGCUGGCGGCGUGCUUAACCCCUGCCAGUCGAACGGUGAAGCUCCAGCUUGCUGGAGUGGAUCAGUGGCGAACGGGUGAGUAACACGUGAGCAGCCUGCCCCUGACUCUGGAAUAAGCGCUGGAAACGGCGUCUAAUACUGGAUACGAGAAGGGUCCGCAUGGGCACUUUCUGGAAAGUUUUUCGGUUGGGGAUGGGCUCGCGGCCUAUCAGCUUGUUGGUGAGGUAAUGGCUCACCAAGGCGACGACGGGUAGCCGGCCUGAGAGGGCGACCGGCCACACUGGGACUGAGACACGGCCCAGACUCCUACGGGAGGCAGCAGUGGGGAAUAUUGCACAAUGGGCGAAAGCCUGAUGCAGCGACGCCGCGUGAGGGAUGACGGCCUUCGGGUUGUAAACCUCUUUCAGCAGGGAAGAAGCGAAAGUGACGGUACCUGCAGAAGAAGCACCAGCUAACUACGUG